rnacentral:misc_RNA from 1 species
AACGCACAUUGCGCCCGCUAGUAUUCUGGCGGGCAUGCCUGUUCGAGCGUCAUUUCAACCAUCAAGCCCCGGGCUUGUGUUGGGGACCUGCGGCGGCCGCAGACCCCUAAAUGCAGUGGCGGGCUCGUCGUCGUACCGAGUGCAGUAAACAUCCUCGCUCAGGGAACGCGGCGUGCUCCGGCCGUAAAACACCCACUUCUCAAGGUUGACCUCGAAUCAGGUAGGAAUACCCGCUGAACUUAA